CCCGGCGCAGCGCCCCCUCUCGCUCCGCCCUGCUGCCGAGCGCCACAGAGGGCCCCAGCGAACCAGCGACCUCCGCCGCCCCCAACCGGACGACAGCAAGCGUCCGUGAGGCCCGGCCUCACGCCUCUGAAAUCCUGAUGAACUUAUCUGGGAGCAACCAUUUAGCCCAGCAGUUGAGACACUCCUGUCCCCAUCAGAGUAUCUGGACGUGACUCCUGGCUUCAGCUCCUGACUCCAGCUUCCUGCCAGUGCAGCAGUGAUGAUUCAGCUGCUCUGGGCAAAAUGAAGAUAACUUCCGCUACUUCCCGGUCUUGCCUUUGUGCUCCAUAUUUCUGAGGUAAGUGUCUGUGAGGGUGGUUG